AGAGCAAGAUUAUUUACCAAAGAUAUUGACGUCCUCCACCUUAUUGGCGUUGGAAUCCCGUUUGUUGCAGCAACUCAGCCUAUAAAUGCCCUUGCCUUUGUUUUUGAUGGCGUCAACUUUGGAGCAUCUGACUUUGCAUAUUCAGCCUACUCAAUGGUUACUGUGGCUAUAUUCAGCAUUCUAUUUCUGUUCAUUCU